GUGGAUUAGAUACCCUGGUAGUCCACGCCGUAAACGUUGGGCACUAGGUGUGGGACCUUUCCAACGGGUUCCGUGCCGUAGCUAACGCAUUAAGUGCCCCGCCUGGGGAGUACGGCCGCAAGGCUAAAACUCAAAGGAAUUGACGGGGGCCCGCACAAGCGGCGGAGCAUGUUGCUUAAUUCGAGGCAACGCGAAGAACCUUACCUGGGUUUGACAUGUAGGGAAAAGCUGUAGAGAUGCAGUGUCCUUCGGGGCCCUACACAGGUGGUGCACGGUCGUCGUCAACU
rnacentral:rRNA from 1 species